GCUAAAUACAAGCAGGACCAUCGGCCUAUUAACUUACAGCUUGUUUCGCCGCUGCCGAAUGCAGCGAUCUCACUUAAUACUGGACCAGUGUCAAAGAUUGUUGUUUCCAUCAGUCACUUAGACUCAAACAUAAAGGAAAAUAGUUUGAAAAAUGGUAAUUACCCUUUGACGCCCCGUUCCCAGAGUUUCCAUGUUU